GGGUAAUUCUUCAAUGAAUCGUAUAUAAUUAUGACCUCAAAAAAGAGUCUCACCGUAUUCUGGCGCCGUGCCCCGCACAUUCUUAAUGCUAAGCUUAAGAAGCUUUCGUUCUUCUGUUUGGCGACUUCGUGAGGUAUUUUACCACAGUACCAAUAUAAUGAAGAUUUCAUACUGUUACAACUUGCAAGGGUUGAAGUCGAGGAAAUACCUUCAGGUACAUAAGGUUUUAGUUAUAUGGGGUCUAUGGCAAGUUUUCAACGGAUUUUAUUCAUUCCAAGUAAAAUGAUGCACCGCUAUUAGAAAAAUGUUCCUCAGUUUUAUUAAGAUACCUCACAUAUUAGCAGAUAUAUACCCGAAAGUUCGAACAUUUUUGUAUAAGGUAUUACUAUUAUCAAAACAGAAUCCUCUCCAGGUUUUAACAGGUUUUAAUAAGAUAUGUCACACAUGUCAAAGUCAACUUUAUGUACUGGGGUGUACUUAAGGGCAUCUUGGGAUUUGAACAUUUUUGGUUAGCUUUGGACAAUUUUUGGUGGCAGGGUAAUAUAAGUAGUUUAAAAGCACUUUUUGUGCAAAGUUUUAUCCCGUUGUAUUUAUUUUCACACUAUAACAUAAGAAUUUGAAAAGCUGAAUUUGGUUGAAAUCAGUCGAGCAGGGCCCGAGAUAUGUGGUUUUACCUAAAAGUGGGCGGCGCCACGCCCAUUGAGCUAUUUUGAUCUGACUCUUUCAAAGUUCUCUCGUUUCAACUCGGAGGUCAAAUUUAAUAUUUCUGGCGUAUAUAUGUAGUUAUUGAUAUGUCGAGCUUUUGUAGCUUUUAACAGUACCGUUAUAUGGGGAGUGAGCGGAGUUAUCAUCCACAUUCAUAAUUUUAAGGGGGUAUUCUGGUCUAGACGCAUGAAUUUUAGGCAUUUUUUAAACUAAGAUAAAAAAAAAUUAAAAAUAUUUUUACCAUCAAUUUUUUUAUAUGUUUUUUAUUGACAUUUUAAUAAUAUAAAAAAAAAUUGGAAGAAAAAAAAAUCAAAAUUCGUCGGGAUACAGAUACGGGCCGGUGGAUUGGGGGCUUCAAAAAAACGGUGCGUCCUGGUUGACGUGAUUUCAACCUUUGUAGAGAUCUAAAACACGAAGAUUCUUCAUUAGUAAGGAUGUCGUUAUCGGGUUGACCAUUUUCAAAAAAAAAGAUGAAAAAAAUAACAAAAUGGCGUCGACUUGAAAAAAAUUGUUUUUUUACCCGAUUUUUCGACCUUUUCGAAUUCUUUAAAAAUACUUCAAAUCAAAUUUUUUGGAAAUCCAAGGCAGAUACGAUAGAACAUUGUAUAAAGAAGAUACACACGUAUACCAAAUUUCAAAGGAAUAGUAGAACUUGAGAUAUCAUGUCAACCACCUCAAAAAAAGUAGUUUCGAGAAAAACGGGUUUAAAGUUUUGGAGACAAUUCUAGUGAACACGGACGCCACGUCACAAAAUCGGCUGUAUCUCUGAAAAUAAGUCGAAUUUUGAAAAAUCCUUCCAAGAUCAUAAAUUUUGAAAGCGUAAACUUUCAAAAUAUGCAAAAAAAAAUCGAUGUUUUCAAAAUCCUAGACCAGAAUACUCCGUUAAGACUGUCGGUAGUAGUUCUUAUAAUAUUUUCUCUAGUCGAAUUCGGUUUAUGUAGCUUUAGUGGUUUAGAAGAUAUGUUCAUUAAACCUAUUAAGAGGCGAGGCGAGGCCUACUUUUGAUACUGCGAUUCCCUGUGCUAAAUUAGAGUUUUAUAUCUUAAUUUAGUGCUUAGUUCCGAUACUUUAUCCGUUUUCGAUUAAUGGCGUUUUGUGAGCGUGUCAGUGGUCCGUUCAUUCCAUAAUAUUGUUAAGAAACUUACUUAAUUUCAUUUCUUUUGAGCAAAAUAAACGCUUUAAUGUCAGACGGAAGGUUCAAAUGGGUACAAAUCACCCUAUUAUCACUAAAAGAUUCUCUCUGAGUUUCUAUAGCAUCCUCAGAUGCGCACCGAAGACGCUUUUGCUGCUGGAGCAGGAUAUCGAAGAAGAGCUGCUUGUAUUAUAGGAUGUUGAUGUAGAGGACCUUUGAUUUCAACAACAUGACUCUACAUGUCAUACAGCCAAAGAAAUAAUAAAUUUAUUGGAGGAAACUUUUGGUGAGCGCAUUAACUCGUGUCGUGAGCUUGUGGCGUGGCCUCAGAAAUCAUGCGACGGACCGUUGGACAAUUCUUUGAGGUUAAGUGACGGCGCUUGUCUACGCAGAUAAGACCGAGGCUAUUGACGCUUUAGAAGUGCAUAUUCGGUAAGUUAUCGGUAACAUACCGCCACAAUUGCUGGAAAAAGUGGUUGACAUUGGGUCUCUGGUCGAGCCAGCCACGACGGUCACUUGAUCGAUAUCAUUUUUAAAACAUAAUUAAAUUUUAAUUCUUGGCCAUAACAUUAAUUUUAUAUGCGUUUUAUUUCACGUGUAUGAAAAACACCCUUUAAAGCAGCACCUCUUCUGAGCAGUCUUAAUUCGAGAAAACUGCGAAUACAUUGCAACUAUAUUUAAUAUAUCGAUUUUUGGCGUCAGGACACACUGUUAACAGAAAAAUACUUCUUCGAAAGUUUCUUAAGAUAUCAGGUUAUAAAGUCAAAUGGAAGUUCUCAAAAAAUUUUAAUUCGCAGAUGCCUAUCCUACGAGAAUGUAUCCAAUAAUGGGUAGGUAUAAGUUGCCUCAGUGUAUAACAAUUGUUAGAAACUUAAUUAAUUUUAAAUCUGUAACUCUAUCAUAUUUAACCUCUAAAAUAGCCAAAACGCAUUUAACUGUUAUUUCCCAACUUGGAAGCAUAUGCAAUGGCGAUUCAUAGCUCAUUUCAUAAGUGGCGGAGACACGUACGUACAUACAUAUGGAUGAAUUAACGUGAUACCCCUACUGGUUUCUUGUAGAUCGCGGUUUCCGAAUUAGGCAGAUGGCGCUACAGUUCUUUAUCUUCAUUAAAUACAUAAGUAAACAGUCGCAAAAGAGAAUUCAAUUUAAGAUUGACAGGUUCAUUUGUUAAUACCCUUAUUUGUAAAUACAUUGUUGUCGAUUGCUCACUUUGUGUUCGGCGGUGCUCUUUUUGCAGUGUGUUUGUAGCCUAUGCAUUCAUAACUUGCACUUAUGUUUGUACAUAAGUAUGAAAGUAUGAAAAUUCAAUCGACCGAGCAGAAGAGGGCGGAAAACAAUAUAAGGAUUAUGCUUUUGAGAAUACUACAGCUACAUUUCCUGCAGCGACCGACAAUCAAAUUGUCGAAACUGAAAGUAUAUAAAUGUAUUUAUAUAUGUGUAUCUAUACAUAUGUAUACACAAAUGUGUUUGCGUUACUGCAUUAUUAUCAUUCUUAUCCUGUUAUGCAGCCGCUGCGGCUGUCGAUUGUCCGAAAUUGCAUAAGGAUCCGUUCUUUUAGGAAUUUAUUACUUCCACUUGAUUAUGCAUACACAUAUACUUAUGUAUGGUAUACAUGUGAAGUAAAGUAGAUGUGUUUGUACAAUGUUUACAUUUAUAAGCGCUAAGCACACUCAAAUGGAAUUAUAUAAACUGUAUCAAUGUGUUUUUUACGCACAAAUGUUUUUUGCCAACCAAGAAGAUAAUUCAUUUCGUGGGAAGGAAAUGAAGAGCAUCAAUUAGUCGGUAAUACUGAAGCUGAGCUACUUUGACAAAUAUUUUUGCAGUUAAAGCUUUUGGAGGCCCCAGGGUAAAUUGAAAUAAAAUUGAAAAAUUAAAACAAAAAUAUUAGAGGGCUUGUUUCUGAAGUGUUUCAGUAAAUAUUGUUAACCAAUUUCUGCUGGAUAAGCGUUGAGUGUCUGUGAAAGCCUAGCCAAAAUCGGUCAAGCCGUUUCAGAGGAUAACAUUUAAAAAAUAUUAUUUGGAAAAGUGCACAGACAAUUCAAGAAUAUUUCCGGUGAUCCAUUUGAUCACCAACUGUGUGCCGUUAAUAAAGGGUGGACCAUCUAACGUUUUAAAUUUGAAUUAUCUAUAUUUCGACAUUGGAAACGUCAAAUACCAUUCGGAAAGUGACAGAUAUUCAGUAAAAAGUCUAAAAUUUACGAAAUGGGUCACUAUUCACUAUUCUACAGUUCGCAGAUUGGGCAGAAGAUCGUUUGACCGAGGAUAGUCAAUUUUACCGAAAAAUCAUCUUUUCGGACGAGGCUCAUUUCCACCUCGAUGGUUACGUUAACAAGCAGAAUUGUCGCAUUUGGGGCACAGAAAACCCGCACGUAAUCGUCGAGAAGCCAAUGCACCCAGCACGAAUCACUGUAUGGUGCGGAUUUUGGUCUGGUGGAAUCAUCGGCCCAUUUUUCUUCGAAAAUGAAGAAGGAACCGCCGUAACCAUCAAUGGUGAGCGAUAUCGCGAACCGAACCGAAUUUUUCUUCAAGCAAAUUGAAGAGGAAGACUUGGACAACAUUUGGUUCCAGCAGGACGGCGCUACGUGCCAUACAGCAAACGCUACACUCAAUCUUUUUAAUACGUGAAUCAAUAUUCAGCUGAACAUUGCCAGGUGUUAUUUUGAGUAUUUUUAAAGAAGACGGCAGGUCGCCUGGAAAAACUAUUGUAUCUGGAACAUGCAGCAUCAACUUAUUUGUGUAUCAAGGUACCUUGAUUACUAAACCAGUUAUGAUUGAAAUAAUUAUUUUGUGUUUCCGAGAAAAUGUUAUCAGUUAAUUAAUUUUUGCAUGAACCCAUCAGAAGUAGUGCGAAAGUUCAAUGCAUUGCUAGUUUAGUUGCUCUAUGAUACCAUUCCUAAUA